rnacentral:piRNA from 1 species
UGCAGAAGGGCCUAGCUUUAGAGUCCACUGU